UAACUUAGGUAGCGUUUGGUUCGGAAACAAGGAGGGGAAUAAGUUCUUGUUCCCUCCUUUGUUCCCAAACGUGAUGUUUGGUACUCGAGAACACUAGUUCCAGAGUUUCAAAAAUAAGUUGGUAUAAGACUAGAACUGUUGUUCCACCAUUUUUCUGGAACAAGCUUGUUCUUUGAUAAGAAUAAGGUUAAUUAAAAUCUAAAUUUAAUCUUAAUGUCAGUAAAUUAUUAAUUAAUAUAAUUAAUAUAUUUAAAUUAUUAUUUAUUGCUUUAGUAAUUAAAUAUUUAAUUUAUUUAUUAUUUAUAAUUAAUUAAU
rnacentral:lncRNA from 1 species